rnacentral:rRNA from 1 species
AUUGAACGCUGGCGGCAUGCCUAACACAUGCAAGUCGAACGGCAACGGGCCUUCGGGUUCCGACGAGUGGCGAACGGGGGAGUAAUACAUCGGAACGUGCCCGAUCGUGGGGGAUCACGAGGCGAAAGCUUUGCUAAUAUCGCCUACGACCUCCGGCUGCCAGCAGGUGACCGCAAGGCCUCUCCCGGCCGUGCCCGCCGAUGGCGGAUUAGGUAGUUGGUGGGGUAAAGGCUGACCAAGCCGACGAUCCGUAGCUGGUCUGAGAGGAUGAUCAGCCACACUGGAACUGAGACACGGCCCAGACUCCUACGGGAGGCAGCAGUGGGGAAUAUUGGACAAUGGGCGCAAGCCUGAUCCAGCCAUGCCGCGUGCGGGAAGAAGGCCUUCGGGUUGUAAAGUGCUUUUGUACGGAACGAAAAGCAUUCUGUUAAUACAGGGGGGUCAUGACGGUACCGUAAGAAUAAGCACCGGCUAACUACGUG